rnacentral:rRNA from 1 species
ACGAACGCUGGCGGCAGGCUUAACACAUGCAAGUCGAGCGCCCCGCAAGGGGAGCGGCAGACGGGUGAGUAACGCGUGGGAAUCUACCGAGCCCUACGGAAUAACUCAGGGAAACGGGUGCUAAUACCGUAUACGUCCGACAGGGGAAAGAUUUAUCGGGGUUGGAUGAGCCCGCGUUGGAUUAGCUAGUUGGUGGGGUAAAGGCCUACCAAGGCGACGAUCCAUAGCUGGUCUGAGAGGAUGAUCAGCCACACUGGGACUGAGACACGGCCCAAACUCCUACGGGAGGCAGCAGUGGGGAAUAUUGGACAAUGGGCGAAAGCCUGAUCCAGCAAUGCCGCGUGAGUGAUGAAGGUCUUAGGAUUGUAAAGCUCUUUCACCGGAGAUGAUAAUGACGGUACCCGGAGAAGAAGCCCCGGCUAACUUCGU